AUUGAACGCUGGCGGUAUGCUUUACACAUGCAAGUCGAACGGCAGCACGGGAGCAAUCCUGGUGGCGAGUGGCGAACGGGUGAGUAAUAUAUCGGAACGUGUCCAGUAGUGGGGGAUAGCCCGGCGAAAGCCGGAUUAAUACCGCAUACGACCUACGGGUGAAAGCGGGGGAUCGCAAGACCUCGCGCUAUUGGAGCGGCCGAUAUCAGAUUAGGUAGUUGGUGGGGUAAAAGCCUACCAAGCCUGCGAUCUGUAGCUGGUCUGAGAGGACGACCAGCCACACUGGGACUGAGACACGGCCCAGACUCCUACGGGAGGCAGCAGUGGGGAAUUUUGGACAAUGGGGGCAACCCUGAUCCAGCCAUACCGCGCGCAGGAAGAAGGCCUUCGGGUUGUAAACUGCUUUUGUCAGAGAAGAAAUCUUUUGGGCUAAUACCUCGGAAGGAUGACGGUAUCUGAAGAAUAAGCACCGGCUAACUACGUGCCAGCCGCCGCGGUAAAAC
rnacentral:rRNA from 1 species